AGUGAACGCUGGCGGCAGGCCUAACACAUGCAAGUCGAACGGCAGCGCAGCAGUAGCAAUACUGUGGGCGGCGAGUGGCGGACGGGUGAGGAAUACAUCGGAAUCUACCUUGUCGUGGGGGAUAACGUAGGGAAACUUACGCUAAUACCGCAUACGAACUAUGGUUGAAAGCGGCGGACCGCAAGGCGUCGCGCGAUUGGAUGAGCCGAUGUCCGAUUAGCUAGUUGGCGGGUAAAGGCCCACCAAGGCGACGAUCGGUAGCUGGUCUGAGAGGAUGAUCAGCCACACUGGAACUGAGACACGGUCCAGACUCCUACGGGAGGCAGCAGUGGGGAAUAUUGGACAAUGGGCGCAAGCCUGAUCCAGCCAUGCCGCGUGUGUGAAGAAGGCCUCGGUUGUAAG
rnacentral:rRNA from 1 species